rnacentral:rRNA from 1 species
CAGCGGCGGACGGGUGAGUAAUACCUAGGAAUCUGCCUGGUAGUGGGGGACAACGUUUCGAAAGGAACGCUAAUACCGCAUACGUCCUACGGGAGAAAGCAGGGGACCUUCGGGCCUUGCGCUAUCAGAUGAGCCUAGGUCGGAUUAGCUAGUUGGUGAGGUAAUGGCUCACCAAGGCGACGAUCCGUAACUGGUCUGAGAGGAUGAUCAGUCACACUGGAACUGAGACACGGUCCAGACUCCUACGGGAGGCAGCAGUGGGGAAUAUUGGACAAUGGGCGAAAGCCUGAUCCAGCCAUGCCGCGUGUGUGAAGAAGGUCUUCGGAUUGUAAAGCACUUUAAGUUGGGAGGAAGGGUACUUACCUAAUACGUGAGUAUUUUGACGUUACCGACAGAAUAAGCACCGGCUAACUCUGUGCCAGCAGCCGCGGUAAUACAGAGGGUGCAAGCGUUAAUCGGAAUUACUGGGCGUAAAGCGCGCGUAGGUGGUUUGUUAAGUUGAAUGUGAAAUCCCCGGGCUCAACCUGGGAACUGCAUCCAAAACUGGCAAGCUAGAGUAGGGCAGAGGGUGGUGGAAUUUCCUGUGUAGCGGUGAAAUGCGUAGAUAUAGGAAGGAACACCAGUGGCGAAGGCGACCACCUGGGCUCAUACUGACACUGA